AAAGGGAAGCUUGUUGGAAUCAGGCACAGUCCCCGCUACUGUAUUUGUAGAAUACUAAUUUUUAAUUGCCAUUUCCANAUUUGGAGAGAAGGUAAAAUUAGAUGACACUACAUAAGUCAGGAAACCU
rnacentral:ncRNA from 2 species